UAAACUUUGUAUGCCUCUGGACACCCUGAA
rnacentral:piRNA from 1 species